rnacentral:tRNA from 1 species
GGCGUAGCUCAAUUGGUAGAGCACCGGUCUCCAAAACCGGCGGCUGGGGGUUCGAGUCCCUCCGCCC